rnacentral:rRNA from 1 species
ACACGUAGGGGGCGAGCGUUGUCCGGAAUUACUGGGCGUAAAGGGCGUGUAGGCGGCAGAUCAAGUCAGGUGUGAAAAAUCAGGGCUUAACCCUGAUCGUGCACUUGAAACUGGUUGGCUUGAGUGCAGGAGAGGAAAGUGGAAUUCCCAGUGUAGCGGUGAAAUGCGUAGAUAUUGGGAGGAACACCAGUGGCGAAGGCGACUUUCUGGACUGCAACUGACGCUGAGGCGCGAAAGCUAGGGGAGCAAACAGGAUUAGAUACCCUGGUAGUCCUAGCCGUAAACGAUGGGUACUAGGUGUAGGGGGUUUAGACGCCCGCUGUGCCGCAGUUAACACAUUAAGUACCCCGCCUGGGGAGUACGGCCGCAAGGCUGAA